AUGUUGAAUUCAGGUGAUGGUGAUAGAAAUAUGAUUUUGGGAACGAGUUUCUUUGCAGAUUCUGUAGCCGUUAUUGCAACCAAUGCAAAAGAAGUGAUUCCGUACUUUAAGAACAGUCUCAAGGGUCUUACACAAUUAAUGCCUACAAGUGGUGCUCUAGAUAGAGUUGUCGAAAAGUUUAACCUCCCUUUCUUCGAGUUCAAAUGGCUCUCUUUUGUGCCAUUAGUGUCAGCUAUACAGUUGACCCCUGUAAAGGAACCUUACUCGGUCAGAGGCAUAUAG
rnacentral:lncRNA from 1 species